UACGUAGGUGGCAAGCGUUGUCCGGAUUUACUGGGCGUAAAGGAUGCGUAGGCGGACAUUUAAGUCAGAUGUGAAAUACCCGAGCUUAACUUGGGUGCUGCAUUUGAAACUGGGUGUCUAGAGUGCAGGAGAGGUAAGUGGAAUUCCUAGUGUAGCGGUGAAAUGCGUAGAGAUUAGGAAGAACACCAGUGGCAAAGGCGACUUACUGGACUGUAACUGACGCUGAGGCAUGAAAGCGUGGGGAGCAAACAGG
rnacentral:rRNA from 1 species